ACAAAUAAAGUUUAUUUAUUUUCCUAUGUAGGAAACGUAUAUAUUCUCCAUUUGUGAUAUGACUUGUUUUGUUUUACCAUUAUUUUUAUCA